CCUACGGGGGGCAGCAGUGGGGAAUAUUGGGCAAUGGAGGCAACUCUGACCCAGCAACGCCGCGUGAAUGAUGAAGGUCUUCGGAUUGUAAAGUUCUUUUCUAAGGGAAGAAGAAAGUGACGGUACCUUAGGAAUAAGCCUCGGCUAACUACGUGCCAGCAGCCGCGGUAAUACGUAGGAGGCAAGCGUUAUCCGGAAUGACUGGGCGUAAAGGGUGCGUAGGUGGUUCAGCAAGUUAGUAGCGUAACUCCGGGGCUCAACCUCGGCACUACUACUAAAACUGUUGGACGUGAGUGCAGGAGGGGCAACUGGAAUUCCUAGUGUAGCGGUGAAAUGCGUAGAUAUCAGGAGGAACACCGGCGGCGAAGGCGGCCUGCUGGACCGCGACUGACGUUGAGGCUCGAAAGCGUGGGGAGCGAACAGGAUUAGAUACCCUAGUAGUC
rnacentral:rRNA from 1 species